AGGGUUCCGGUUCACGUCAGAUAUUCAGCACGUUUGGCGACCCGGCGGCC
rnacentral:ncRNA from 1 species